UAUACACUUUAGGAUUUAUUUUGACGAACCAAUUAAUAUGGCUACCGUAGUACGGUACAUUUUGAACCAUUCAGUAAGCUAGUAGAUAGGAAUAAGCUAUCGUCUUUCUGGUCAACAUUGGAAUGCAAAAAGAAAUAAUCUCACUCUGUUUAUCGGUUUUAGGUUUCUACCGAAAGCCCAUUCAAAGACCGUAAAACACUAUCGGCAAAAGCUGUUUGUAAACGAACGAUAAAAGAAUAAAUUUGCUAAACAAGCGGUCUUUACGGUUGCUCGUUUUUUGACAUACACAAAUUUGAUACUCAACCAUACUAAACACAAACGAAAAUGACUUAAAA